CUUUUUUGCACUUUUGAGUAUCUUUGCUGCUAGCUUAAAGUUGUUUUGAGCUACAUAAAAUUGUUUUGACUUUCUUAGGGUGAUACGUUGUACAUAUGUACUGUGUUUUGGUAGUGUGUAUUUUCCCUCCAAUCUUCUGGGCUCUCACUGUUCUUUUAGGAGGAAGAUGAAGAUUUUGAAGAAGAAAGUGAUGAUGAUGAUACUGCAGCUCUUCUUGCAGAACUGGAAAAAAUUAAAAAAGAAAGAGCUGAAGAGCAGGCCAGGAAGGAACAAGAACAAAAAGCUGAAGAAGAGAGGAUUCGUAUGGAAAACAUUCUGAGCGGAAACCCUCUCCUUAAUCUCACUGGCCCAUCCCAGCCUCAGGCCAACUUCAAAGUUAAAAGAAGGUGGGAUGAUGACGUUGUCUUCAAGAACUGUGCAAAAGGUGUAGAUGACCAGAAGAAAGACAAAAGAUUUGUAAAUGACACACUGCGAUCUGAAUUUCACAAAAAGUUCAUGGAGAAAUAUAUUAAAUAGUACAGUUUUAUGUGCUUAAUUAAAGACUGUAAAACGUAAAGGA
rnacentral:lncRNA from 10 species